CAAAACCAAUAAGGGAAAGAUCAUGUGCAGUUACCCCAACUGGACAAGGAAGAGGACUUCUUUUCCAGAUGGGCAAAUUUUACCUGACGGGAGCAAGUAAAACCAGCAUAACAAUACUUACCUCCCAGGAUACAUGCAAUGAAAGACAAGACCUAGAAGUGAUCUUCAUGUGUGCACUAUGUGCAAAGGGAAAGCAGAAGAAAUCCUGACUGAGGCCAGAAUGAAAUGACUAUCAAAUAAUAGGUGGUCUGGAAUCUGGAUGUUUUCCAGGAAGAUCCAGGAGCUCAACUAUAUUGUCAGGGAUGAGAUGCUUGCCCAUUCUGUUUUGUAGAGCAUCAAACCAAAGCACAGAACCCAAGUCUUGAGAAGCAGGGUACAGUGUUCAGGACUGAAUUGAUUUUUCCUGUGCCUUAUCUGAGAAACCUGAGUGUCUUAACAUGGUGAUCUGAGAGAAUGGGCUGCUUUGUGUUCACACACACGAAUUGCUCAACUUCCUGAAUGAAGCAGAGAAAGAAGGAAGAAUCAGUAUAUACAUCAUGUAGAGGAUGCCUGGUGAGGAGAAAUGGAAGACCCACCAUAGGAUUCUCUCCUCUGGGCUGGGAUGGAAGAUGGACCUAUCAACACUUCUCAGCCCAUUUAUCCUGUUACGAACCAUUAUCACAGACAGAAGUGUUCUAGAGAGUGGAUGCUACCAGCAAAGCAGAUAGUGAUUCCUCUCUACUCUUUCCAUCCUGUAACCCUAUAUGCACUGUUCAAUCCUAGGACACCAUGUCACUUUUUAAACUACCCAUGGAGAUGGAAUUGAAUGAUAUUUCAAUGAUCUGCAUCCUAGUAUUUUCCCCCAAAGUUCAAGUUAUCUUUAAGUAUCUUAACUCAAAUCAUUCACCCAGCAACGAUUUAUUUCUUGAGCAACUUCAGUGUUUCAGCAGCAACCUAUUAGUGAUGGAGUGACAAGAGUCAGCAGGACGGGUGCUGGACAGGUGCUAUUUCAAGGAGAGUGAGGAGUCUGCAGAUAAGGGGAGUAAAAGGUAGCCUGCGGCACACCCGGUCACCAGGGCUCUGUCCUGAAGUGAGGCGACUUCAGCCAUUCCCACUCAUCCAUAGUGCUAGAAGACUGAAGAUGGGAACUGUCCCCAGGCCUGCUGACUGACUCCAUAGCCAAGUAAUGUUCAAAGAAAGAGGCUUUGAAGAGUUAGGAGACCAUGCUGGGGAACUGCACAUGUCAGGAACUGUGGGCAGUCUCUUGAAACUGAUGACAUUCUUGACUGACAGCCAGCAAGAAGCGUGCAGUCUUAUCAGAGGAAGGAAUUGAAUUCUGCCAACAACUUAAGUGAGCUUAGAAGUGAAUCCUUACCCAGACAAUUCCCAGCACCUGUGGCAAGAAUUGGGAUAUGUCGAAUUGGAAGAACAAAAAAAAAAAAGCAAAAAUAUUAGCAAAAUAGUUUAAAGGAAAAGCUAUGAGAAGAGAUGGAAACAACUUACAAUGAUCCAAAAGGGAGACAUUAAGGCAAGAGGAAAUGUUAAUAUUUGAAGCCGAGAUGAUAUUUCUAGAAAUAAAAUGGCUCCUUGUUUCACUACCUGUCUCAGAAUUAUACUGAAUCCUGAAACAAAGCCGGGAACACCACUCAUGGCAACUCCCUAGCUGCAAGGAGAUUUGUUUUCAAAGCGCCUGACAAGCUACAUCCGAUUCAUCCUCAAAACCGACUUGUCAGGGGAAUAAAUACCAAGUGUCGGAACUUCCCAAGAAAUCUAGUGAUGAAAAGCCCUUUAACGAUGAACAAAUUAAAUUCAGUUUUAAUGCCAGGAACAGAAAGAAAGCAAAAUGAAGAGGCGCAGAAGAGUGAGCCCAGGUGCUAUAUAUUUGAUGAUCUAGGAUUUACGUCCACACCACUUCCGUUACCAAGGAUUAGAACAGAGGAGGCUUGGGUUUUGCUGGUGCGGACAUCUCCUAAUUCCAAACAUCUCCUAAAUCCAUCGAGAAGAAAGAAGAUGAGAAGGUGGAAUGAGAAACAUAGAUCACAGGAUAAUGACUGGUUCCUAACAUUUCUUCUGUAGAUAUGAUGACCAAAGACUGAGCUCUACAUGAGCCAAGUGGAGGUCUCUGAGGCACCAAAGAUGGUGGAGACACAUGAUGAAGACGACUGGAUUCCUGCAUGACUCUGUGGAGCAUAGUGUCCUCCAUAAUGGCACAAGAAAGAAAGGUGCAUCGUGCAAAAACUGGACAUCACAAUCUUCCCCCGCACCAGGUCUAAAGGAUGAAGGUACAAACAGCUGAGAAUACAAGUCAUGGACCAGCGCCCAGUGAAGUCACUACUUUGGGGGCCCAGAACUGUCAUCACUGUCCUCACAAGUCCACGCUUCUGGACGCUUGUGUGGACUCCACACCUGCAGCAUCUGGCUCACGGCUGACCACAACAGGCCAGAUUCACAUUCGGCUUGACCUUGGGACUGUGGGCAGCACACUGAACUUCUCUGAAGCUCAGUUUCUUCGACUGUGAAAUGGGAGAAGCUAUAACCGCCUUGGGACAUGGCCAACAGCAAAGUCAGAUGUGCACACACAUCGCCUGGGAUCCUGUUAAGAUCCUCCAUCUACAUGCCCCACUGCUCUCAUUUGCCUGCACUUCUGGAAUAUCUUCACGCUUUUCUGCCUGGAGCACCCCAGGAGACCUCAAGGAUAACAGGCUUUCAUCCUUAAUCUGAAGCUUUAUUUCAGAAAACAAGUUGGAGGAAAAGAAGGGUAUCUAGAAAACUUAUCUCAAGAAACUUUUUCCAUAAAGCUGUCACUGAACCUCGAGGUUCUGAAGAAGCAUAGCAUCUUAGAGGGAAGAAGCUGCCAAGCCUGAGAAUGAUGAAGCCCCUGUGGUUUCCUUUUUAGCUUCCCGCUUUACAAAUGAUGCACCUUCGUGUCUUUACAGCAGAAACUACAGUCUGGUCCUCUCCUGGGUGUUCUGGUCCAUUGCCAAGUCCUCUAAAGCCUGAUGAUACUUUCCUCACAGCCUGAGAGCAAAAUAACGUGGUGUGAAGGCCCAGGAAGCAAGCUCAUCUUGUGCAAACCUGCUCCAGCCCCAGAAGCAACCAUUUCUUUGAGGAGCCCUCUUCCUUUUGGUGGGCAAAGGCAGUAGAGAUCAAGAUCCGGGAACCAGAUGUCUGUCUUCUCUACCUUUCCAAAAAUGCCUUGAAGGUGGGGACUACGCACAGCCUUCUUGUGUCUCCAACUUCUGGGACAGCGUCCAUUCUGGGCAAUGGUUUACCUGGUUGGAAUUCAGCAAUAAACCAGACCAAGUGGGUGUUCACUUCGUGACACCCAUAUUCCAGUGCAGAAGACAGGUUAAACAUAAUUAAUGAAUUUACAAGUAAUAUGAUAUAUUGGCGAGUGCUGUGAAGACAUUUUAUUCAAGAUAAGUGGACAACAAGGGAUAGCACAGUGGAGCCUCACUACUUUGCAACCAGAGAGAUGAUUCGCUGCCCUGAAGCACUCCACGGAUGGGCAAGGCCCAGCCUGCGUCGUUGCCUUUCUUGGGACCAGUUUCUCUGGCCAGAGGAGGACUGCUUCCCACUCUCCCCACCACACUUCACAGCAGCACCAGUCCCCCACGAGUCUUGCUGAGGAUUUGUAUCCCUUGAAGGAGCUGGUGUAAGCCUGAGGCCACUGGCAGUCAUCUUGUGGAAUCCAGAUGGAAUCAAUGGGAACAUAUCAGAGGAGGAAGCCGGGGCUCAGAUGAAGGAAUCAGCUUAACCGAAGUUUCCCAACCAGAAAGUAGCAAAAUGAAGACUGGAAAGCAUUUAUUGUUGGCGGCAGCAUGGAAAGCAGACCUGCGCUGCCCCGUGCUGCAGCUGCCAGCCGCCGUGACUCAAAAAAGGCUCUGCAUCCGGGUGUCCUGGCCAAGAGACACUCCCGACCUCAAAGACUUGGCGCGGGAGAAAUGCUAUAAGCUCCUAGAGUAUGAGAGAUGUGACCUGGGCCAUUCUUGGCCUCCCAGCCUCAAUCUCCAGUGAAGGCCUUGAAGGUGCUCUGAUGAAGACAGUGAGGCACAGGGAUCCAGGGAAGUAGGAGACUGCCGUCAGAUGAUCACCUGGACUCCUGCCACCAGCAGCCUGUGAGGGAAGAGCUCUACCACCUGCAUCUCAGAGGAGCAAAGUGAGACCCAGUGAGGUGUGUUGCCAGCCCAAGCACUGGGAAGGAGGGGCCACGACUGGAACCCAGGCAGGUGGGC